CCUACGGGUGGCAGCAGUGGGGAAUAUUGCACAAUGGGGGGAACCCUGAUGCAGCGACGCCGCGUGAGCGAAGAAGUAUUUCGGUAUGUAAAGCUCUAUCAGCAGGGAAGAAGAUGACGGUACCUGACUAAGAAGCCCCGGCUAUAUACGUGCCAGCAGCCGGGGUAAUACGUAGGGGGCAAGCGUUAUCCGGAUUUACUGGGUGUAAAGGGAGCGUAGACGGCAGGGCAAGUCUGGAGUGAAAGCCCGGGGCCCAACCCCGGGACGGCUUUGGAAACUGGCAGGCUAGAGUGCUGGAGAGGUAAGCGGAAUUCCUAGUGUAGCGGUAAAAUGCGUAGAUAUUAGGAGGAACACCAGUGGCGAAGGCGGCUUACUGGACAGUAACUGACGUUGAGGCUCGAAAGCGUGGGGAGCAAACAGGAUUAGAUACCCCGGUAGUC
rnacentral:rRNA from 1 species